AAAACCAACAAAAGUUAAGAGGCUAACACAGAAGGGUAAAGCAAAUCUGCAUACAACCCAGAGAAGAGGUCAGUAGAACUUCUCUUGGGAUCCUGUCUGGAGACAGAGCU
rnacentral:snoRNA from 1 species